CGUUCGGUGGAGUGCAGGCUGUAGAUGAAGUCUCGGGCCCCUUGCGUCGUGUUCAACGCCUCCAUCGGCUCCUUGGGGCUGAUUGCAUCAGUCUACAAAGAAGGAACAUUGGUGCUUGGCAAGAAAGGAGACUUCCCUGUCUUUCCCAUCAGCACAGCCCAAGCCAGCCAAGCAUCUGUUGCAAAAGUUCCUGAGUAGGAUUUGAAACCUGGUCAUCUGAGUGCUUGUUCUCCAUCAGGAAAUAAAUACACAGGACAACAGGACAUGAGCUGAAUGUGUGGGAUUUUGGCUUUUCUGAUGAUUUGUGCAGAAAAAGGGAUCUGCAUCUUGUACCAGGGCCUCAGUCCUGAAUCUUAAAGAAGAAACCUCACCAGUACUCCAGAGCCUGUCCCUGUCUACCCUCUCCACUCAGAAUUCUGGCCUGCAGCAUCAAGAGAAACAGCUGGAUUUAGAAACACCUUCUGGCUUGCAUGCAUGGUCAGCCAGACACAUCUGUGGGUAAUAAAAUAGAAGUCAAUAUAAGUAUUUUAGGAACAGCAAAUCACUCUUGAAUUAUUUUGAUGUUGUGCUUGACAUUUCAUGUUAUUUUUGCUGGUUCUGGAGGGUGGAAGAUGGUGAGGGGGAGUGAAACCUACUGUCAUGUUUUUUGCUAUGAAGUUUCAUGGCAUCUUUACCAUUAACUGUCUUCAAAUACUCUUAAUUUUGAGAUAAUCACUUUACUGUGCACCGUGGGCUGAAAGGAAUAGUGUCUCUUCAUGCAAACUUGAUUAUUGAUUAUGGAACUUGGAAACUUAGUUUUUGU